AUGGGUUCGGGGGGGUGCGCGGUGUGUGUGCGCCGAGGGGGAGUUCCCUCCCCGGUUAGUUGGGGCUUCUGCAAACGAAGCCAACGAGAAGGGAUCGAAAAGUGGCCGGCCGAGCCGGCGGCAGCCCGGCCGAGCUGGGGCUGCCCUCGGCGCUCAGCUUUCUUUCUAUUUGCCAUUUCUCGCUCGCCCCGGCCGCGUUUCUCACGGGCCGGCGAGAAUCGCUCGGCGGCAGGAGCGGGGCUCCCGCGGAGGCUGCACCGCUUGUGUCGGGCCGGGAGGCAGUUCGGUAAAAUUAAUUUUAAAAAAGGAAAAAAAAAAAAAAAAGAAAGAAAGAAAGAAAAUCCCAAAGGGGAACGAAUGGCCAAGCCCCGCUGCCGGGGUGUGCGGGGGCAGCCCCGAGGCGAGCAGCGCGUCCCACCCGGUACCGGGCACCACGGGCAGGGAGCUGCAGCUCCCCCGGGCCGGAGCAGGGUCCCGCUCCGCAAACCUCGUUUUAAGCCAAAAACUCGCCAGAACCGGCACGGUUCUCAGCCAGGGCAGCGAGCAGGGGAGGCUCCCGGAGCCAGCGGGCGCCCAAGCCGCGGCCGCCGGGACGAGCGCUCCCCGGGGCGGCCGGGCCAGCGGGGGCACGGCGCUGCCCCCGGGCUCGGAGCCCCGCGCACAGCAGAGCCCCGGAGCGGGGAGGGCAGUGGGGGGACAGGAGAAAACCCGCAGCCUUUCCCCCCAGCCCCCCCGGGGCCCCGGGGGGCGCCCCGGCCCCCCGGCCGGGCACGGCGCCCCCGGGGCCGCCCCUUUUUUUUUUUUUUUUUAUACAGUUUGCACCUGUUUGAGCGCCUAUCGCUGCCGCGGGGAAUGGGGAAUUCAUUAGCGAGGAGGGAGGGAGAAGGGCCGGGAGCUCCUCGGCUCCCCCGGGUCAGCCCAGGUGGCCGCCAGGGAGCCGGGGGCCCCUGCCCGGCUUGCAGGGAAGCGGUGGCCAAGGAGCCCCCAGCCCCCCCAGGAGCCGGCUGGAAGGGAAAAAAGGCUCCCCCACGGCGGUGGCCGCUCGGCCACAAUUGUUUCGCCCUCCGCGGCCCCGAGCAGCGGGGGGACGGGGCCGGGGAGCCCCCGCGGCCGGGCACGGCGCAGCCCCGGCGGGGGGCACGGGCGAGGCGGCGGCAGCGAGCGGCGCCUGUUAAGAGUUUAUAUAAUCCGCCCUCGCUCCUGUUUGCACCUUCAUCUCUGCUUCCUCGCCCAGCUAAUAUACAUUUCAACACACAAACUCCGUGGCGUGCCACAUGCGUUUCAACGGGGAUUCACUGCGAGCCUUUAAAGGGGGGCGCUGGAGUGGCUGUAAUUUACGGGUGGCUUGCCUGGCAUUUUCACUACAAAGCCCCGCGUUCCCAGGUAUUUUAUGAAGCCAGCUUGGAAAACACGCUCCAGGUGAAGCUUUGCGUGCAAGCCUCCCCGAUCGAUGUUGUUCCCGAGCAGCUGUAA
rnacentral:lncRNA from 1 species